CCGUGUCACCGCGGAGAAAUCGCUGCAACACGCGUAACGCGCUCUGGACGGUGCAAGGGAAAUCUGAACCAAAUUAUAGCUGAAAUACACCACAGAAAAUAACAUCUCAGCAUUUUUUUUAAUUGCUGUCUUUAAACAGCCGUACACAGGGUUCUUUUCGCUUAAAGCCGCUUUUCGGCGCUACAAAGGGAUCUGCGCGAGCAGGGCCCUCAGCAGCGCUUUCCUCACAGCCUGCAGGUACGCCCCGACUGCAAGCCGACAGCGCGGGCCGAGCGGGGCCUGCCUGCCUGCCGCCGGGCCGCCCCACGGCCCCCGCACACCUGGGGCAGGGCAGGCGGCGAACGGGAGCCCCGCUAGCACGCAGCGCGCCCGAGGGUGCGGCUGUGCCCGCAGAGAGAGCCCUCACCGGCCCCUCCCCUCCCCAGCCGCCAGCCGCACGGCCUGCGGGGCUCGUGAUGCCGCAGCCCCCUCCGGCCGUCCUCCGCUGCCGCCGGCUGAGGGACGCCCCGCAGCGCUGCGCAGCGCCAGGGACAACCGCGGCACUCACCGCCGUGCCGCGCGCAGGCCGGAGCCGUCCCCUCCUCGGGCCGUUCCGCGCUUCGCCACACGCUCAGGUAUUGGGAAUCAUCUGAAGAAUGUAAGUGGCCAAUUAGAUGAUUCUUAAAUAGCAACCUUGGCCUGUUGGAGAUCUAAUUUAUACAGGUUGCUCUUGACUGCUCCUUCAAAUGGCAUUGGUUGGUUCACCUCAACAUCAGCUGGAGGACAGGCUGUCACUGUCUGCAAGGACCUUCCUUACCACUGAAUCUUUCUGGAAACGGCUGUCAAAGUCAAACAGUUCGGUUGCAGUGAGUGUUAGCUACUUGCUUUCCUGUCAAGUAAGAAAGCUGGAUUCUCACAAAGGCAAAACAGAAGAAAUGUUUUUCUUCUAAGUAGGUGCCUUCCCUUGAUUCAUGGACUUCUGAAGUCACCAUCCCAAGAGAUUUUGCCAGAAAUAUCGGAGCCGGAGAUUCAAUCGCUGGUUUAUGUAGUAAGAUGUUUAGCAAGGUUCUGCUGUACUUCUAAACCCGGAGAUGCUGAAGGUGUUUUUCUCUGAGUUAAUAAUUACUAGCUGUAGAUAGCAGCAAGCUGGAAGAGACUGAACUAUUUUAGAAAUGCAUGCAAUAAAUAAUAGUGGCUAUGCUUCA
rnacentral:lncRNA from 1 species